rnacentral:tRNA from 1 species
GUCCCAAUAGCUCAGCUGGAUAGAGCGUUUGCUUGCGGAGCAAAAGGCCGGGAGUUCGAGUCUCUCUUGGGACA